GCGCUCGUAGCUCAGCCGGAUAGAGCGGCGGUUUCCUAAACCGCAGGUCGGAGGUUCGAGCCCUCCCGGGCGCG
rnacentral:tRNA from 1 species